AUAUUGCACAAUGGGCGAAAGCCUGAUGCAGCGACGCCGCGUGAGGGACGAAGGUCUUCGGAUUGUAAACCUCUUUCAGCAGGGACGAAGCGAAAGUGACUGUGCCUGCAGAAGAAGCACCGGCUAACUACGUGCCAGCAGCCGCGGUAAUACGUAGGGUGCAAGCGUUGUCCGGAUUUAUUGGGCGUAAAGAGCUCGUAGGCGGUUCGUCACGUCGGAUGUGAAAACCUGGGGCUUAACCCCGGGCCUGCAUACGAUACGGGCGAACUAGAGUUCGGUAGGGGAGACUGGAAUUCCUGGUGUAGCGGUGAAAUGCGCAGAUAUCAGGAGGAACACCGGUGGCGAAGGCGGGUCUCUGGGCCGAUACUGACGCUGAGGAGCGAAAGCGUGGGGAGCAAACA
rnacentral:rRNA from 1 species